CCUCAAACAGUGACAAAAUCCCCUUUUUAAUACAACAUUCCUGAUCAUUUUUUGUUGGCCACUGGACUCAGAAACUCGCCGUUCUGUCAAUCUCUCAUCUGUUUAUUAAUUUAUCCGCCUAUCUGUCACCUAGCUAUCUUAAGGACCUUUCAUUCCAUUUGACGAACGGCUUCCUCCAUCCAGGAUAUUACUUGGCGGAGUCAGAGAAGGCGUCUGUCACGCUUCUGUAUCCGAGUGAGACGCCUCGAUUGGAUCAAGUUCCUUCCUCUCCAUGGAUACACACGUCCAAUCCUUGUAUCUGUCAUGGUACAUCCAGAUCCGUGCAGCGUGGAUUUACAUAACAAAGCUUCAGCUCAAUUCUGGGGAGCUGCUGCUUCAUCGAUCAAUUGUGACACCGAGUCCUGGAUGGAGUACUUCCUCAUUCCUUUCCGCACGCUACUGGAAGUUUCUAUGGUGUCAUAAAUUAGUUGAAGAAGGAAGGAAGGAGGAAAGGAAAGAAUAAAGAAGGAAAGGAAGGAACGAAGGAACGAAGGAAGGAGGAAAGGAAGUGGAUUUUAUACAGUUCAAUGCAGAUUUUAUACAGCCAGCGUCACCCAACCUGAAGGUCAAACUAAAAGAUUUGUCAGGGAGAAAAAAAGCCAGGUGGAGAAAAUAAAAUCCAUGGAGACAAACUUGCUGAGAGACAAUUUUGCAGGGCACCUACUAGGAGAGACAGCCAAGAGCACAGAGAGGAUAUUGAAUUUUCACGAGAAAAAACUAAAAUAAACUGCAUUGGAUAGGAAAUAAAUUUGCAGUCUCUCACGGGACAAAUCUUCAGGGCACAUCUCCCAGUUGCACCUGAGCAGCCAGCUUUUCGGUGAAAGUCACUCUGACUUUCCUUCUGGGUGCCGAGGAAGCUUGCCGUUGAUGGAUUCCAAAUGACAGCUACCUAGAAGGAAAGACAAGAGGGAAGGGCUGUUGGAAUAUAUUCCUGUGAGUCAGAACGCAAGUUGUGAAAUCCAAAACCAAAAGCACAAAACAACUGAAAAGUGUCUUCUGAACUAUAGUGAGCCCUUAUCUGCAGUCCAGCUUGGGUGGGCAUCUAUGUAGAGGUAGUAUUUGGAAAUCUAUACAUAUAAUAAAAGUCAGUGUUUGUA